rnacentral:rRNA from 1 species
GACGAACGCUGGCGGCGUGCUUAACACAUGCAAGUCGAACGGUGAAGCGCCUUCCUUUUUGGUGGGUGUGGAUGAGUGGCGAACGGGUGAGUAACACGUGAGUAACCUGCCCCCUUCUUCUGGAUAACCGCAUGAAAGUGUGGCUAAUACGGGAUAUUCUGGGUCUGUCGCAUGAUGGGUCUGGGAAAGAUAUUGUUUCGGUGGGGGAUGGGCUCGCGGCCUAUCAGCUUGUUGGUGGGGUGAUGGCCUACCAAGGCGGUGACGGGUAGCCGGCCUGAGAGGGUGGACGGUCACAAUGGGACUGAGACACGGACCAGACUCCUACGGGAGGCAGCAGUGGGGAAUAUUGGACAAUGGGCGCAAGCCUGAUGCAGCGACGCCGCGUGAGGGAUGGAGGCCUUCGGGUUGUGAACCUCUUUCGCCAGUGAAGCAGGCCUGCCUCGUUUGUGGGUGGGUUGACGGUAGCUGGAUAAGAAGCGCCGGCUAACUACGUG